rnacentral:rRNA from 1 species
AGCCCAAUAGCUAGCCCAACCCCUUAAACCCAAUUAAUCCCCCUUAAUAACCCCAAAGACACCAAAAACACAAAACAAACCAUUUUUCCCUCUCAGUAUAGGAGAUAGAAAAGAGUCUCGGCGCAAUAGAGAAAGUACCGCAAGGGAAAGCUGAAAGAGAAAUGAAACAACCCAGUAAAAGCCUGAAAAAGCAAAGACUAAACCUCGUACCUUUUGCAUCAUGAUUUAGCUAGCAAUACUUAAGCAAAGAAUACUUUAGUUUAAAACCCCGAAACUAGGUGAGCUACCCCAAGACAGCCUAUAAUAAGGGCGCACCCUUCUCUGUGGCAAAAGAGUGGGAAGAUCUUCGAGUAGCGGUGACAGACCUAUCGAACCUAGUUAUAGCUGGUUGCUUGGAAGAUGGAUAGAAGUUCAGCCUUUUAGGUUCUUUCCUCAACCGGUUCACCCAAACCCGCCAAUAAGAAACUAGAAGAGUUAGUCAAAGGGGGUACAGCCCCUUUGAAAAAGGACACAACCUUCCCAGGAGGUUAAGGAUCAUAAUAAACAAGGUCGGACAUUUAGGUGGGCCUAAAAGCAGCCAUCCUUAAAAAAAGCGUUACAGCUUGAGUUUCAAAUUUUGACCUUAGAUUCGGACAAUUAAUUCCCAACCCCUAACUUUACCAAGCCAUCCCAUGCCCCUUCAUGGGAGUGAUCCUGCUAAUAUGAGUAAUAAGAGAGUUAUGACUCUCUCCCUGGCACGAGUGUACAUCGGAACGAACCCCCACCGAAAAUUAACGACCCCAACAGAAGAGGGCACUGGAACACACACAUUAAAACCAGAAAAAUCUCCAUGAAUGAACCGUUAACCCCACACUGGAGUACCUGAAGGGAAAGGCUCAAAAGGAAAGAAGGAACUCGGCAAACACCUCAAGCCUCGCCUGUUUACCAAAAACACCGCCUCUUGCAAAAUCGACGAAUAAGAGGUCCCGCCUGCCCAGUGACUUUUAUGUUUAACGGCCGCGGUAUUUUGACCGUGCAAAGGUAGCGCAAUCACUUGUCUUUUAAAUGGAGACCUGUAUGAAUGGCACCACGAGGGCUUAACUGUCUCCUUUCCUAGGCCAAUGAAAUUGAUUUCCCCGUGCAGAAGCGGGGAUAGUGUCAUAAGACGAGAAGACCCUAUGGAGCUUUAGACACCAAGGCAGCCUACGUUAAGCACUGUCUGACAUGACCCAAAACUAGGUAAUCCCUGCCCUAAUGUCUUCGGUUGGGGCGACCCUGGGGAAAUAAAUAACCCCCAUGAGGAGUGGAAGCAUGCUUCCAGAACCAAGAGCAACCGCUGUAAGGACCAGAACUUCUGACCACCAGAUCCGGCAAAGCCGAUCAGCGGACCGAGUUACCCUAGGGAUAACAGCGCAAUCCCCUUUUAGAGUCCAUAUCGACAAGGGGGUUUACGACCUCGAUGUUGGAUCAGAACAUCCUAAUGUGCAGCCGCUAUUAAGGGUUCGUUUGUUCAACGAUUAAAGUCCUACGUGAUCUGAGUUCAGACCGGAGUAAUCCAGGUCAGUUUCUAUCUAUGAUGUGGCCUUUUCUAGUACGAAAGGACCGAGAAGAAGAGGCCAAUGUCUUUGAUACGCCUUACCCCCACCUAACGAAAUCAACUAAAAUAGGUAAAAGGGCAUAUACCCAAAGCUGAAGAUCACAGCUU